UGCCAGCAGCCGCGGUUAAACCAGGGGACAUAGUUAUUUUUUACGGUAAAAACAGUUAAGGAAUUAAUAUGGUUAAACUACCAACACAACAUUAUAAAGUAAAAUUUGAAUGUUAGGGUGGACCUUAAAAACCACGUCGAAGCUGUGAAAUCCUUGAGGGAAACUGGGAUUAGAUACCCCAUUAUUCAAGGACAUAAAAAAUUUACCAGGGUACUACGAACAAUGUUUAAAACUCAAAGGGCUUGGCGGUGUUUUAGACCCCCCAGGGGAACCUGUCCCGUAAUCGACAGUCCACGCUACACCUGGCCUUAUUUAUUAGUAUGUAUACCGUCGUCGGAACCGGCAACUUCCAAAAAAGAAUAAGUUGGCAGCAAACUACUUUAAGUUUGACGUCAGAUCAAGGUGCAGCUUAUAAUAUGGGGAGGAUGGGUUACAUUGUUAAUUAACACUAUACCGAAGCUGUCUGGAAAAGACAUCAGAAAGGGAGGACUUGGAAGUAAGAAAAAUUAUAAAAACAUUUUGAAUAUGGCUCUGAAAUGUGUACAAACCGCCCGUCGCUC
rnacentral:rRNA from 1 species